rnacentral:lncRNA from 1 species
CUCCCAGUGAUAAAACCCUGGUAAUGGCGUCUAAAGAGAAGAAGGAAAACAUAAGAAUGGGCAAACAGACGGCAACAGUGUACGCAGCAAAGAUAAAGACUAAAAUACACAAUACCUCAUCAUUCUUCAAGCUUUCUUUGAAAGGCAACAACAAGGCUCUGGCUCUGGCUCUUGUCGCUCAGAAGCAGAAGAGCAGAGAGCUGGAGGCAGAGGUGGUGCGUCUGAGGAAAGAUGCGCAGACAACUCAUUUUGAUCUCGCGCAUCAGCGUCAUAAAAACAAACAACUGUUUGGAAUUAUACGAGAGUUUUUAUGACUCUUCCCUAAACUGGAUGACAAAGGCAGUUGACAUCUUUUGUAAUGAUGAGGUAAGCAGUCAUUUUUUGUCUAAUAAUUAAAUUAUAUGGCUUUUGUUGUUGUUAAUAAGAAUAAUCAGCAUAAUAAUAAUUUUCAGGACUUCAACCAAGCUUCUGUGAUUGUUCACAUAUAGCUAUUUGUUAGAUAGUCACAAUAUUAUUAUUACCUUUUUUUCUUAUAAUUCAUAUUAAAGCUAAUUAUUAUUUUAAAGGAUCCAGACAGUAUGGACUUGGAUCACAACACCAGUGAAGACCAAAUCAUUGAAAUGGGAGAAGUUGAGAGUUUGCAAAACAGACCUUUGUGUCCACAGCAGGAUCAUGUUCAGUCUGAACCAGUGAAUUCAGCCGGUGAUGCUCCCAGCCAAGAGAGAGAUAGUCCAGCACAGCAAAACACCAUAUAUGACUCUGAAAUGGAGAUGACCGUUAGUGACAGUGCUGCUGAAAUAGUAACAGUUGAAACAAAUACCAGAAAAACCUCUAGAGUUACAGAAGAACACCAGGAAAAGAAGGAUUUGUGUCUAUCAGAAAAAGGUAGUGAGUUUAUAUCUGCGAAGGAAGACUCACCAGUUGAAUUUAAUAGAUUAGAAUGUACAUCAGCUGUGCCAAAAGAGAUGACCGCUGUCACACAGCAGUGCUCUCCCACUGUUCAGAGCGAGGUGGAGAAUGAGCAGCAAAUGGAUUCAAUAACUGCACGCAGGAAGACUCAUGUCACCUCUCGUUGUACUAAAAGUAGCAGACGCACAUGUAAACUGAAAGAAUCAAACCCAGAUCCAAGAAAAACGUAUUCGAUCUCCCAAGAUCCUCCUAAUGACAUUUUUAAUGAUUGUUUUAGUGAUCCUGAGCUUCAGAAUUUUGAAAGAAGCAAUGCAAUUCCUUCACAUGGAAAUAUUUCAAAUAAAGCUGCUAAAAGCAAAGCUAAAGAGUCCCAUGCUACCCGGGAAACCAGGAGAACAAUUAUAGAUCAAGUUGAGCUGAGACCUCAGAAGAGCAGGAAGACCAAAGUCUUGUCCCUUACGAUAGAUCACAGUUUAUCAGAUAUGCAUGAAAAUGUUCAGUCUGCCGGUACUUUAUGCCCAGAGGCUGCUUGUACGGAUGUCCAUGUCGGUGAGACUGCAGUUCAGAAACAUAAAAACAAAACUCCAGCACACCCUCUUCCUCAGUCUGAAAAGUGUCAAGACACAGAAAAACAGAGGAACAUUUGUGAUACAGGCAAGUCAAUCAUUAAUCAACAGGAAUUCAUUUUUGAAUGA